rnacentral:rRNA from 1 species
CUUGGGGGGAGAGAAUCCCAAGGCGCUUGAGUGAUCCCCUGUAAAGGAACUCGGCAAAUUCACACCGUAACUUCGGGAGAAGGUGUGCCGUUGGAGGUGUAGGGGUUCGCCCCCGAAGCCCCCGGCGGUCGCAGUGAAAAGGCCCAGGCGACUGUUUACUAAAAACACAGGACUCUGCAAAGUCAAAAACGACGUAUAGGGUCUGACGCCUGCCCGGUGCCGGAAGGUUAAGAGGAGGGGUUAGCCGCAAGGCGAAGCUCUGAAUCGAAGCCCGGUAAACGGCGGCCGUAACUAUAACGGUCCUAAGGUAGCGAAAUUCCUUGUCGGGUAAGUUCCGACCUGCACGAAUGGCGUAACGAUCUGGGCGCUGUCUCUACAGGGGGCUCAGCGAAUCUGUAGUACCGGUGAAGAUGCCGGUUACCCGCACGUAGACGGAAAGACCCUGUGCACCUUUACUGCACCCUGGCAGUGAACCCCGGUGCGUUAUGUGUAGGAUAGGUGGGAGGCUUUGAAGCCGGCGCGCUAGCGUCGGUGGAGCCAACGGUGAAAUACCACCCUUAUUGUACUGGAGUUCUAACUGAGGCCCGUUAUCCGGGUCCAGGACAUUGUCAGGCGGGUAGUUUGACUGGGGCGGUCGCCUCCUAAAGAGUAACGGAGGCGCGCGAAGGUUCCCUCAGGCUGAUUGGAAACCAGCCGUAGAGUGUAAAGGCAGAAGGGAGCUUGACUGCGAGACCUACAAGUCGAGCAGGUACGAAAGUAGGCCUUAGUGAUCCGGUGGUCCCGCAUGGAAGGGCCAUCGCUCAACGGAUAAAAGGUACGCCGGGGAUAACAGGCUGAUCUCCGCCAAUAGUCCACAUCGACGCGGAGGUUCGGCACCUCGAUGUCGGCUCAUCACAUCCUGGGGCUGAAGCCGGUCCCAAGGGUUCGGCUGUUCGCCGAUUAAAGUGGUACGUGAGCUGGGUUUAGAACGUCGCGAGACAGUUCGGUCCCUAUCUCGUGUGGGCGCAGGAUACUUGAGAGGAUUUGUCCCUAGUACGAGAGGACCGGGAUGGACGAACCUCUAGUGCACCAGUUGUCGCGCCAGCGGCACAGCUGGGUAGCCAUGUUCGGAAAGGAUAACCGCUGAAAGCAUCUAAGCGGGAAGCCCCCCUCAAGAUGAGGUAUCCCUGAAGACUCCUGGAAGACUACCAGGUUGAUAGGCAGGAGGUGUAAGCGCUGCGAGGCGUUCAGCUUACCUGUACUAAUCGGUCGUUUGGCUUGACU